rnacentral:rRNA from 1 species
CAGCCGCCGCGGUAAUACGUAGGUGGCAAGCGUUGUCCGGAAUUAUUGGGCGUAAAGCGCGCGCAGGCGGAUAGGUCAGUCUGUCUUAAAAGUUCGGGGCUUAACCCCGUGAUGAGAUGGAAACUGCCAAUCUAGAGUAUCGGAGAGGAAAGUGGAAUUCCUAGUGUAGCGGUGAAAUGCGUAGAUAUUAGGAAGAACACCAGUGGCGAAGGCGACUUUCUGGACGAAAACUGACGCUGAGGCGCGAAAGCCAGGGGAGCGAACGGGAUUAGAUACCCGCGUAGUCCCUGUCUCUUAUACC